UGUUAUAACAACUUUUAAUUGAGAUUGAAAUUUGAGGGAAGGCUAAUCCAAGCAUGAAAUUGGAUUGUAUUUGAUUGACGAAACCUAAGAGUAGCUUUGGGGAUAGAUUUUAGUUGGUGAGUUUGAAAAUCAAUUGAAUUUAGAUUAUGAGUCCGAAAAAUAAUCUUACUAUAACCUAUGUAGAUUAUAGUAGAAAUUUUCAAAGGAAUAUUUAAAAAAUGGACAUAAAUGCUG
rnacentral:lncRNA from 1 species